rnacentral:misc_RNA from 1 species
CAACCCUCAAGCUCUGCUUGGUGAUGGGCCUCGCCGCUUGGCGGGCCUCAAACGCAGUGGCGGUGCCGGCUGGCUCCAAGCGUAGUAAUCUAUUCUCGCUUUGGGGACGACCUGGUGACCCUCCAGAACGACCCUUCUA